rnacentral:tRNA from 1 species
GCCGGCAUAGCUCAGCGGUAGAGCAGCUCCUUUGUAACGAGAAGGUCGGGAGUUCGAUCCUCUCUGCCGGCACCA